CUGGGUUUUCGGUUUCAGAACAGGUGAUCAGCGUUGGGUUAAUCAACUCUGAGUAUGUUCACUCUGGGUUGGGGGCGUGCCUGUUGACUAUAAAGAGCCAUCAUCAAUGGAUCUCUGAUAACAUGAUCAAACAUGGACCAAAAGCGUAGAUCCACUUACUUUUCCCCCACGGAAUUGGAAAUUCUAAUGAAUGUGUGUGUGUGUGUGUGUGUGUGUGUGUGUGUGUGUGUGUGUGUGUGUGUGUGUGUGUGUGUGUGUGUGUGUGUGUGUGUGUCAAUUUACGCAACCCCGAGUUGCCCCACGAGGACUUGGCAGCAAAUGAAGUACAAAAAUAUAGUUUAAACAGCAAAUCGAAAAAAUGCAGAGGCCCGGCAGACUGGAGGGGGUCCACCACCUGCAGCCCUCACAGAGGCUGAGGAGAUGGCCCUCAGCCAACAGAGUAUGCGUCCUGUGGCUGAGGGCAUCCCUGGGAGGAGCUCCUCUGAUCCCCCCCACCCCCCAGGAUAGAAGUGCCUUUACAGUAUAAGAGUUACUGAUGGCGUCAUCGCCCUACUUGAACCAGAUGCCCUCACCAACCUCCAUGCAAUUGUAACAAUUCAAAAGAUGCAAAAGGAUGCUUUGGAGAUCCACAUUUUGGAACAUAAGUUAAAGGUGUU